rnacentral:rRNA from 1 species
UACGUAGGGGGGCUAGCGUUGUCCGGAAUCAUUGGGCGUAAAGCGCGUGUAGGCGGCCCGGUAAGUCCGCUGUGAAAGUCGGGGGCUCAACCCUCGAAAGCUGGUGGAUACUGUCGGGCUCGAGUGCGGAAGAGGCGAGUGGAAUUCCUGGUGUAGCGGGUGAAAUGCGCAGAUAUCAGGAGGAACACCGAUUGCGAAGGCAGCUCGCUGGGACGUUACUGACGCUGAGACGCGAAAGCGUGGGGAGCAAACAGG